GGAGCGUUUAAGGAUCCAUUUGUGACUGAGAGAGCACAGCACCACCAUUACAGGCAGCCUAGUCCGGGCCAAGGUAAUCCACACUAACUGCCACACAGCCCUUUCUUCCUCGGAUAAGAGGAGCCAGCAGCUGCGAUUCCGGACAGUUAAGAUUAUAUAUGAUGUGUAUAUAUCGAGGGUUUGUCAGCUCUUCCAGGCCAUAAAACCCACUUUAAUGGCACCACGUGCUCCGUAUGCACCAUUCACAGGCCCCGCUAGAGGCAAUUGGCAUAAAUAACCUUCCAAACUUUAAAAUACUAAAAGAAAGAGAUACCAUAAAGGGGAAUUUGAUAGCCCUACAUAGGCUAACGUAGCACGGUUAGGCCCGACAGUGCCAUUGAGAAAGCAGUUCAUGCUCUGCUGCAUUUAUAGACCUAGCAGUAAAAAGGCUACCUGUCUGCGAGGAUAACCCGAAGAGCUGCAAAAGGUGCACCCCACACGACAAAGUGCAAAAGGAAACCAUUGGAAAAAGGUUCCCGCACAAUGACCUGCAGCAAAAUCUCAUUGAGGUGCUAGUACGACUCAAACGCACCUGCGACAGGCCUAUUCACUUUGUCUAAAUUCAAUUAGCCUCACACAAUAUCUGAAGUGAUUUGGAAAAAUCAAAUGUGCAUUUUUGCCAGCUAAUGUUUUUACUUUAGGCUAUAGCCUAAUUUACAGUGAAAAAAGUAGUUAAAUACACAAUAUGUACCCCCCCGCCCCCACAGACAGACACACACUUUCACAGCUUUGCCAUCACUACACAUGCAUUCAAUGUUAAUUUUGUGUAAAUUAAUAUUCAACAAAAUAUGCACAGGAAAGGGCCUACGUUCCAUUGACCACAGUAUACACAAUUGGCGAAUCCAACAAUGAUGAUGUUCAUGCGUAAAAGAUCGUGUAUAAAGCGUAACAAAGCUCGUGAGUAAACCUUAGCAAUCCGAUCGACGCGCAAGUUCUAGGCUAGUUGGGCAUAGAUUUCUGAAGUAAACAUCUUGCCCUAUGUGUGCAAAUUAUUGUUGUUGUGAAAUAUGAUCAUGAUGAUUAUUGUGAUUAUGAUUUAUAGUUAUAUUAGUAUUAUGAUUUUGACCAUGUUUGSUGUUGCUGGUGUUCCUCCAAUAAAUAUAAUUACAUUUUUUACA